rnacentral:rRNA from 1 species
UCUUGCCAAAGGCACCGCUGGGUAGCUAUGUGCGGAAGGGAUAAGUGCUGAAAGCAUCUAAGCAUGAAGCCCCCCUCAAGAUGAGAUUUCCCAUAGCGUUAAGCUAGUAAGAUCCCUGAAAGAUGAUCAGGUUGAUAGGUCAGAGGUGGAAGCACGGUGACGUGUGGAGCUGACUGAUACUAAUCGAUCGAGGACUUAACCAAUU